ensembl:lncRNA
GCGCCGGGUCCCCGCAACACCUCGGCUCUCCGGAGUCCGCGGAGCUCCCAGCCCAGCGCGAGCGUCCCCCGGCCGGGUUUUGAGGCUCCUUCCCGGGAGAGCACGGGUCGGGCCGGCCUCGCCUCGCCCGCCCGCCCGCACACGGCCCCUGCGCUGGCACUUACAGGGCUCGGCCGCUGCCCCGCGAGCGCGUUCCCCGGGGGUCCAUGGCGCUUCCGGACCCGCGAGUCAGGCCGCGGCGUCUCGCAGCACCGCCCAGAAAAUGGACGCCGGCGGCUCGGCUCGGCCGGCCCGGCCCGCCCCCGGCGCGGGGUUGGGGACGCCACCCGGCCGGGAAGAAGGCUCCUCGGCCUCAGCCGCGGGCCGGGCUCCGGGGCACCAACGAGCGAGCCCAGGCCCAGGCCUCGGGAGGACAGGGGCAGGGCCGGGACGUGGGGGCGGGGACACCUCGGCCCCGCAAAACCCCAAACCCAACCUGGACGCGACGGGAAGAGAUAGUACCUCACUAGAAGUUUCUCAGAAACCAUGGACCUAAUCCUCCUAUGCUUUUUAACCAUGAGAACCUGACCGAGUCGUUGAGCUUCAUAAUUAGGAGAAAAGUUUCUAACCUUUAAAAUAUGUCUAAGGCACCAAAAUACGUAUCAUCCAUUAUGGAUCCUUAGAAGAGAGAUUUAAUUUGGGCCAAAGUCCAGAAUGGAAUUAGUCACUUACCUAUAGGAGAGGAGUUAUAAAGUGGCACCGCAGACAGACUAAAACCUCAGGUGAUUUAUAAUAUAUGCUGCAAAAAGUGGCUAACAGCGGGCGGUCAUGUUGUACCAACAGUGGAGACCUAACUACUGCCGAAGUAGGAGGCUGAGAUUGCAAAGCCCUGGGGGCAGGGCCCUGCCUUUGCACUUCCCAUUCAAUUCCAGGGGCUUUGGUGUUCAACCAAGGAAAUCCUCAGGUUCCGGAUGGGUCAGGACGGGGGUCCAAGUCGCGGUCCGAGGGAGGGGAGAUGCGACUGUCAGCGCCGUUCCCGAGCCUGCUGGACCGGAGCCCGUCACGUCCCCCGCCCUUGGGUGCGCGUUGGUCCCCGGACCCCCGCCCUUCAGCAUAGCCUUGCAGAUGGGCCACAGCUGCGGCGCAACGUGCCCGACUCCGCGGCUGGACCCCGACUCCCAGGGCGCCGGGUCCCCGCAACACCUCGGCUCUCCGGAGUCCGCGGAGCUCCCAGCCCAGCGCGAGCGUCCCCGGCCGGGUUUUGAGGCUCCUUCCGGAGAGCACGGGUCGGGCCGGCCUCGCCUCGCCCGCCCGCCCGCACACGGCCCCUGCGCUGGCACUUACAGGGCUCGGCCGCUGCCCCGCGAGCGCGUUCCCCGGGGGUCCAUGGCGCUUCCGGACCCGCGAGUCAGGCCGCGGCGUCUCGCAGCACCGCCCAGAAAAUGGACGCCGGCGGCUCGGCUCGGCCGGCCCGGCCGGCCCCCGGCGCGGGGUUGGGGACGCCACCCGGCCGGGAAGAAGGCUCCUCGGCCUCAGCCGCGGGCCGGGCUCCGGGGCACCAACGAGCGAGCCCAGGCCCAGGCCUCGGGAGGACAGGGGCAGGGCCGGGACGUGGGGGGCGGGGGACACACCUCGGCCCCGCAAAACCCCAAACCCAACCUGGACGCGACGGGAAAGGUGGGGGGCCCACGACGGCCCCAGAUGCCACCAAGGGGGCUGCGGCCUCAGCCUCUCUCCUCUCGGGAGAUCCCAGAACCCGCCCCAAGGGCAACCACUUAG